GGAACCGUGCCCGAACGAUCAAGGACCACUUUGAUAGAGUGAAAAAUGGGGGUUCAAAUCCCCCCAGUUCCU
rnacentral:tRNA from 1 species